GACACCUUCUCAGUAUUUUACAGAUACUUGGGGAUAUUUUUAGGCAAUUUUCCAUUUUAAAGGACGUUUUCUUUGGAAUGAUUUUUGGUUGCCUCCUCUGGGUUUUUUGUGGUUUCUUUUUCUUUUUCUCCUCCUUUUCUAUAUUAUUUGCCCAUCGCGGCUGUGGAUACCUGGUUUUAGUGUGUAUAUAGAUAGGUAGAUAGAUAUAUUAUUAUUGUUAUUAUUUUUUACCCAACGGGGUCAUGGAUACCUGCCUUUUAUUUUAUUUUUUUUUAAUUUGCCCAUCGGGGCCACGGAUACCUGCUUUUAAUUUUUUUUUUCCCCCUUAGCCCAUCGGGGCCUCGGAUACCUGCUGUGUACCCCCUCUCUCCCUAACCUGGCCCAUCGGGGCAAUGGAUACCUGCCUCUUUUUUAAAUGUGUUGUUUUUUUUUUUUUCCUUGCCCAUCGGGGCCUCGGAUACCUGCUUUAAUUUUUUUUUUCUUGCCCAUCGGGGCCUCGGAUACCUGCUUUAAUUUUUUUUCCUUGCCCAUCGGGGCCGCGGAUACCUGCUUAGAUUUUUGUUUUACACCACCCAUCGGGGCUUUAUAUGGUUGGAAAAGUGUUGGGUUUUGUGGUUCGUUGUACUAUCUGGAAUGUCUACAAAAUUUUGCUGCUAAUCGUUUGUGUUGUGUGAGUGGACCUACGGCUUUGGCUGGGAGAUGACUUUGCAGUUAGGCUAGAGGGUUGGUUAGGCUGGGGAGGAAAGAUGGCGGCCACUUCAGAUUUGCCGCCCAGCUUGGCUGAGGGGUAACUGUGCUAAGUAUCACUAGGAAGGUAAGAUGAAUAAUGCGACAGGCAAAGGAAAUGGUAUGCAUUGCAUGAGUUAAAUGUUUUGAAUAAGCUGACUUGGAUCAUGUUAGGAGCUUGGCAUGAAUUGUGGUAUCAUGAGGUGGGAAAACAUAGGAUCAUCCUAUGUCAUAUUACAAGGGUCUAAUGGAAAAUGAGCGGGAGAAGAAUUAGGCGCAGUGUUCAAAAUGGCGAUUUUGACCUUGCAGCAUUGCUUAGCAUGGCUCUCUGCUUUGUUAGAGUGUUCAAAAUGGCGGAUCCAUUUUGCCGCAGUGUUCCAAUGGCGGGAAGCCACAUCAUGGGUGUCUUUGUUCUAGUGUGCAGCAUGGCGGUAGAAAUAUUCUGUUACAUAGUAAAAGAUGGCCGCUUAAGUACUUGCCGCAGUCUAAAACAUGGCGGGCUUUUGUCUCUGCCGUGUGCAUUUCCUGAUAGGUUUUGCUGCAGGGACAAUAUGGCUGACCUUGUCAUGUGGAUAUCAUGGCAGUUUGUCACGUGGAUAUCGUGGCAGGGGUGUUUGACCGUUACAUUCUUGGCGGGCUUUGCAUCAGGAGGGCCUGCCGCAUUGUUAAAGAUGGCGUGCUUUGCCGCGGACAAAGUGAAAGGAGGGAUUGGCAAUGUUAGAUUGCCGCGUGUCCCACCCAAUCAGAAAGGGUGGUAGAAUCGGUCACAGCCAGUUAGUGGAGGAUGGAAUUAGAUGAGUUAGCAUAGCACCUCGCUACCGUCUCUAUUCAGCCAGUCAGGAUUGGCCACAUUUGUACUAAUCUCAGUGGGUGGUACCAAAGUCUUUCCCCGUGGCUAAUACUGGGGUCGGAUUUUGAUUUCUAUUUAUUUAUUGGAUGUCAGUCAUACAUAGUUUGAUUAUGUGGUUUGCUAGUGUUCGAUUUCAGCUUAAGUGACUAGUAUGGAAAUGUGUUUAGGGACUUAUUUGUAGAAUUCAUUUUAAUUACAUUUAAUGGGUUUUCAUAUUUGGGUUCCUUUAAAAUUCCUUAAAGUUUUCAGUUUUUUUUUUUUUUAAUAAACCUCUCAAGCUUUUUUUGUAUUUAGAUAUUAAAGUCAAAUAAUAAACCACUAAGAAUUUUUUUUUUUUUUUACUUUGAAAUUGACUUCAUAGACUACUUCCCUUUGGAUAUUUGAAGAGUCUUAUAGCAUAGAAGUAAUUAAUUAAAAAUUUAACUUUAUGACCGAAUGUGAAAAGGAAUAUUUGAAGGUCCUCUCAGGUUCAGGCCUUGCUUUGUCCCUACUCUUAAUGCUGCACUCAUUGACUAAUGAUCCAACAACCUGCAGGAAACCAGUUGCUGUGAAUUUGCUUCUUCUAUUAGAAUGUAUUAUAUUGGAGAAUUAUUGUUCAUAAUUUCAAUUUUCUGUGGUCCCCUGCCUCCACAGCCCCUAGCUCCUCUGCAACCCUGUUCCCAGCAAUCCCCUUUCUGGCCUCAGCCCCUGCCCCAGCCCCAGCCCCAGCCCCAGCCCCAGCCCCAGCCCCAGCCCCAGCCCAGCCCCAGCCCCAGCCCAGCCCCUGCCCCAAUCCCAGCCCCAGUCCCUGCCCCUGCCCCAGCCCCAGCCCCAGCCCCAGCCCCAGCCCCAGCCCCAGCCCAGCCCCAGCCCAGACUCAGUCCUGUUUCUGCUUAAAGCCAGUGCAAUUUUUGUUAAUUCAGUGAAAAAAAUAAGUUGUCCAUUGCUCAUCCAUUAGACUGGGAUACGCUGUCUACCUCUAGCAUUCCUGAUCUUGAGUGCUGGCUAUCCAAGUCACCAUUUUCAGUUAAUGUACAGAAUCCCAUUUGUCCCUUGGUCCAUGUUAGAAAAAAGAAUCCAUUCACCCUUUGCAUUAAUGUUAAGAAACGUUAAUUAACUGAGAGCUUCAUAUCAGACAAUUAUUGCCCAUAAGUCUAGUUACUCAUAAUCUUCUCAAUCCCCUGUCAAUAAGGGAGAAACCAUUCCUCUGUCAUUGCUGCAGUACUCACAAUCCUAGUUUUCUGGACAGUGCAUAUUUACUGAGCUGACCACCUAAACUCUUUGUAUUGAGUGAAGUUGUAAUUGUCCAUAACCCUGCCUAUUGGAUUAGAUUCCAGUCCAAAACCCUCUUGCAUUCAGCAAAGGGCACAGAAAACCCAAUUUUUUUGGUUAAUGUGCUCAGUCCCAGUUGUCAUAGCUUUGUCCAUUAAACAAAGGCAUCCUACAAAUUUUGCCCUGCUUCUGGGGAGUCCUGUUCUUGGACAAUUAAAGUACCAAAUUGUAAUUUUUGUUUUCCCCAUUAACCAAUGAUCCUCCAUCCUAUUUACAUUGCUCUUAGGCAUUGCUGACUACCUGAGACCAUGUUCCUUGAAUUAUUAAUGUGUAGAAUCCCAAUUGUUUAUUACACAAGUCCUUUCUUUGCACUGUAGCAGAAGUGCUCAUCUUAAAAGUCACUUACUCUGGAAUAUUAAUAGAUUCAGUUGUUGUUGAUCAUGGUCCAGCUUAACAGGUAAGAUCCGCCCAUACUCUUUUCGAUGCCCCUAGGUAGUGCGGACUACCUGCCACCUUGGAUUAAUAUGUAAAAUUCUCAUUUCCCAUGAUCCUACCGAUUAGUCUAGGAUAUCUCUUAUCUCGAUCCCAUUUCUUCUGAGGAGUUCUGAUUACCCAAAGUCCCUUCUCUUAUUAAAAAAUUGAUGUGCAUAAUUGCAUAUAUCCAUGGUCCCAUGCAAUAAAAAAUGAAACCCCACACUUGGUGGAAUAUUGCUGGGUCGUGCAGAUUAUUCAAGAACUCAGCUCUUGGACAGUUAGUUUGCAUAGUUGCAGUUGUCCAGAGUCCUGUCCGUUUUAAUGGGCCAUUGGUAUCCUAUUUGCAAGCUACGUGGGUUGAACUCUCAAGGGCCCUCCUCUUGAAUUUAUAACGUCCAUAAUUGCUUUUGUCCAUGUCCUGUAAACUAGUCACACUGGCUCACUUUGUCUUCCAUCAGGGCACCCUUACUACUUAAGAAGUCUGAACUAGAACAGUUUAUGUGCACAAACCUAAUUGAUUACACCUCAGCCUUUUGUAUCAGGAACUCUGCAUCAUCUUUACUUCUGAAAGGGUGCUAAUUACCUAAGGCCAUUUCCUAAAAUUGUUCACUUGCAAAACUGGAAUCCCUAGGGACUCUUUCAUUUUAACUAGAAGCCCAUCCCCAACUAACUGCCUUUGCAUUACAGCAGAGGAUACUUGGGGCAGUUAAUGGGCUUGAUUGUACGUAGAGACCCUAUGGCUGGUUUAAUAUCCAUUCCCCUACUGAAUGAUUUGCAUUACCACAGGCAGUACGAAGGAAUGAUAAUGGGCUUAUACAGCUACAGUCCCUAAUGUUAACCUAGAAACCCAUCCCCACCUAACUCUGUAUGACGGCAUAGGGUACUUGGGACUGUUAAUGAACUGUAUUGCAGCUACAAUUCCUUUUGUUAGUCUAGAAUCUGUUCCCUUCCUGCUUGAUUUGCAUUACCACAAAGGGUACAAGGGACUGUUAAUGUGCUUAAGUGGAGUUACAGUCCUUUAAGUUAACCUAGGAUCCCAUUAGUACCUAACUCCCUUUUUAUUAAUGCACAGCAUAUGUGAGACUUAUUCGUGGGAAUAAUUGCACUACUGUCCCUUUUGUUAGUCUAGAAUUCCAUCACUCUACUCAGUUUGCAUUACUACUAAUUUGCAUUAUAAAAGAGGGUAUAAGGGACUGUUAAUGUGCUUUACUGCAGCCACAGUCCCUUUUGUUAAUCUAGAAUCAUUUUCGUUCUUACUGGAUUUGUAUUACCACAUAAAGUAACUGGGACUGUUAAUGUGUUUAAAUCUAGCUACAGUCCUUUCUAUUAAUCUAGGAUCCCAUCCCCACCUAACUCCCUUUGUAUUACUGAAGAGCCUACAAGGACUUGUUAAUGGGCUUAAAUGCACUGCUGUCCUUUCUAUUGAGUCUAGAACCCCAUUUCUCCUAGUCAAUUUGCAUUACCCCAGAGUGUACAAGAGACUUGCUGUGCUUAAAUGCAUCCACAGUCUGUUAUGUUUACCUGGGACCGACUCUAUUCCCACCUAACUCUGUUUUAAUGAGAGGGUACUUGGGCUUAACUGGAGCUUCAGUCCCUCCUGUUAACCUAGCGUCAGUUUCUUUCUUACUGGAUUUGUAGUACCACAUAGAGUAACCAAGACUGUUAACGUGCUUAAAUGCAUUUACAGUCUUUUACAUUUACCUGUGUUCAUUGCAUGACUGCAAGGUUACUCGAAAUAGUUAAUGGACUCAAUUAGAGCUACAGUCUCUUCUGUUGAGAUUUCCAUGCCCUCCUACUCUAUUUGCAUUACUAAGGGGGAUGCAAGGGACUGUUAAUGUGCCUAAAUGCAGUGUCCUAGGAUCCCAUCCCCCACCUACCUCCCUUUUCAUGACUGCAGAUUACUUGGGACUGUUCCUGUGUUUAAAAGUAGCUGCUGCUGCUGCUAAGUCACUUCAGUCGUAUCCAACUCUGUGCGACCCUAUAGAUGGCAGCCCACCAGGCUCCCCCAUCCCUGGGAUUCUCCAGGCAAGAACACUGGAGUGGGUUGCCAUUUCCUUCUCCAAUGCAUGAAAGUGAAAAGUGAAAGUAAAGUCGCUCAGUCAUGUCUGACUCUUAGCGACCCCAUGGACUGCAGCCUACCAGGCUCCUCCAUCCAUGGGAUUUUCCAGAAGAGUACUGGAGUGGGGGUGCCAUUGCCUUCUUCGUAAAAGUAGCUAGUUCCUUCUAUUAGUCUAGGUUUCCAUCCACUCCUACAUGGUUCGCUUUAACACUGGAUACAUAGACUGUUAAUGUGCUUAAAAGCAGCUACAAUCUCUUAUAUUAACACAGGAUUCUAUCCCCAGCUAACUGUUUCACGACUGCGGAGGGUAUUUGGGACUGGUAAUGCACUUACCUGCCUAUACAGUCUCAUCUGUUGGCCUACUUUCCCAUGAUCUUCUACUAAUUUGCAUUAUGAAAGAGGGUAUAAGGGACUGUUAAUGUGCUUUACUGCAGCCACAGUCCCUUUUGUUAAUCUAGAAUCAUUUUCGUUCUUACUGGAUUUGUAUUACCACAUAAGGUAACUGGCACUGUUAAUGUGCUUAAAUCCAGCUACAGUCCUUUCUAUUAAUCUAGGAUCCCAUCCCCACCUAACUCCCUUUGUAUUACUGAAGAGCCUACAAGGACUUGUUAAUGGGCUUAAAUGCACUCUUGUCCUUUUGUUAAGUCUAGAAUCCCAUCUCUCCUACUCAAUUUCCCCAGAGUGUACAAGAGAUUGUUACUGUGCUUAAAUCCAUCCUGUCCGUUGUGUUUACCUAUGACCCCAUUCCCAAUAGUGACUCCUUUGCACUACCACAGAAAGUGGAAGAGACUGGUACUGUGCUUAAAAACAACUGCAGUCCCUUAUGUUUGCCUAGGACCCUAUCCCACCCAGCUCCCUUUUAAUGAGUGCAGAAUGUACUUGGGACUAUUGAUGGGCUUAACUGGAGCUACUGUCCCUUCUAUUAACCUAGAGUCAAUUUCUUUCUUACUGGAUUUGUAGUGCCACAUAGAGUAACUGGGAUUGCUAAUGUGCUUAAAUGCCUCUACAGUCCCUUAUGUUAACCUAGGAUCCCAUUCCCACCUGACUCCCUUUUUAUUACUGCAGAGCCUACAGGGACUUAUUAAUAGGUUUACUUACACUGCUGUCCAUUCUGUUAGUCUAGAAUCCCAUCUCUCCUACUCAGUUUGCAUUACCCCAGACUGUACAAGAGCCUGUUACUGUGCAUAAAUGCAUCCACAGUCUGUUAUUUGCCUAUGACCCCAUUCCCAACAGUCAGUGACUCCCUUGCACUACCACAGAAAGUAAAAGGUACUGGUACUGUGCUUAAAAGCAACUACAGUCCCUUAUGUUUACCUAGGACCCUAUCCCACACAACUCCCUUUUAAUGGCUGCAGAAGUUACUUGAGACUAGUAAUGGGCUUAACGGCAGCACAGUUCCUUCUGUUAAUCUAGAAACAGUUUCCUUCUUGCUGGAUUUGUAUUACUACAUAGAGGAACUGGGAUUGCUAAUGGCUUAAAUGGAGCUACAGUCCUUUAUGUUAACCUAAGAUUCUGUCUCCAUCUAACUAGUUUUCAUGACUUCAGAGGGUACUUGGGACUGUUAUUGCACUUAUCUGCUUAUACAGUCUCAUCUGUUGGUCUAGAUUCCCAUGCUGUGCUACUCAAUUUACAUCAUAAAAGAGGGUAUAAAGGACUGUUAUAGUGCUUAAAUGCAGCUACAGUCCCUUUUAGUAAGGUGGGAUCCCAUUCCCAUCUAAUUCCCUUUGCAGUAUCCCAGAGGCUCCCAGGGACUUUCAGUGUACUUAAGUGCAGAUCCAGUCCCUUAUAUUAACCUUGGAUCCCAUUCCUACUUAAUUCCCUUUUUACCACUGCAGAAGGUGUUUGGGACUGUUAAUGCAAUUCUUGCCUAUACAGUCUCCUGUUAGUUUAGAUUUCCAUGCCCUCCUAGUAAAUCUGCAUUUUAAAAGCAUACAAGGGACUGUUUAUGUGCUUAAAUGUAGCUAUAGUCCCUUAAGUUAACCUAGAUCUCAUUCCCACCUGACUCUCUUUUCAUUACUGCAGAGCCUAUACGGGACUUGUCAGUGUACUUAAUUGCACUGCCAUUCCUUCUAUUAUUCUAGGAGCCCAUCCCUCCUAGUGGAUUGACAUUAUCACAGAGUGUUUGAAGAGGUUGUUACUGUGCUUAAAUGCAUCCACAGUCUAUGUUUACCUAUACCCCCAUUCCCACCUGACUCCCUUGCACUACCACAGAAGGUAAAAGGACUGGUACUGGGUUUAAAAGCAGCUACAAUUUUUUGUUUACCCAGGACCCUAUUCCCACCUAACUCCCUUUUUUACUGCAGAGGGUACUUGGAACUGUUAAUGUGCUUAAAUCCAGCUGUAGUCUUUUCUAUUAAUCUAGGAUCCCAUUCCUAUCUAACUCCCUUUUCAUGACUGCAGAGGUUACUUGGGGCUGUUAAUGCAUUUACCUGCCUAUAUAGUCUCAUCUGUUGAUCUAGAUUCCCAUGCCCUGCUACUCAAUUUGCAUUGUGAAAGAGGGUACAAGGGACUGAUAUGGUGCUUAAAUGCAGCUACAGUCCCUUAUGUUAACCUAGGAUUCCAUUCCCACCUGACUUCUUUUUCAUUAAUGCAGAGCCUAUAUGCUGCUGCUGCUGCUGUCACUUCAGUUGUGUCUGACUCUGUGCAACCCCAUAGACGGCAGCCCACCAAGCUCCCCUGUCCCUGGGAUUUUCCAGGCAAGAACACUGGAGUGGGUUGCCAUUUCCUUCUCCAAUGCAUGAAAGUGAAAAGUGAAAUGAAGUCGCUCAGUCGUGUCCGACUCUUCUCGACCCCAUGGACUGCAGCCUACAAGGCUCCUCCGCCCAUGGGAUUUUCCAGGCAAGAGUACUGGAGUGGGGUGCCAUUGCCUUCUCCAGAGCCUAUAUUGGACUUGUCAAAAUGCUUAAUUGCACUGCUGUCGCUUCUUAGUCUAGAAGCCUAUCCCUCCUACUUGAUUUGUAUUAUCCUGGAGUGUAAAGACUGUUAACAUGCUUAAAUGUAUCUACAGUCUCUUAGGUUUACCUAUGAUCCCAUUCCCAUUUAAAUCUUGUUGCAUGACUUCGGAGGUUGCUUGGAAUAGUUAAUGGUCUCAAUUAGAGCUACUGUCCCUUCUGUUAGUUGAGAUUCCCAUGCCCUCCUACUCAAUUUGCACUACCAAGGGAGAUAUAAGGGGACUGUUAAUGUGCCUAAAAGCAAUGACCUAGGAUCCCAUCCCCCACCUAACUCCCUUUUCAUGACCGUAGAUUACUUGGGACUGAUACUGUGCUUAAAAGUCCCUAACAGUUCCUUCUGUUAGUCUAGAUUUCCAUCCACUCCUACAUGAUUUGCAUUAACACAGAGUGUUCAUAGACUGUUAAUGUGCUUAAAAGCAGCUACAGUCUUAUGUUAAUCUAGGAUUCUGUCCCCAGCUAACUACCUUUUCAUGACUGUGCAGAGGAUAUUUGGGACUGGUAAUGCACUUACCUGUCUAUACAGUCUCAUCUGUUGGUCUACUUUCCCAUGCUCUCUGACUAAUUUGCAUUAUAAAAGAAGGUAUAAGGGACUGUUAAUGUGCUUUUCUGCAGCCACAGUCCCUUAUGUUACCUAGGACCCUAUGCCCACCUAACUCCCUUUUAAUGACUGCAGAGGGUACUUGGAACUGUUAAUGAGCUUUACUGCAGCCACAGUCCCUUUUGUUAAUCUAGAAUUGUUUUCGUUCUUACUGGAUUUGUAUUACCACAUAAAGUAACUGGGACUGUUAAUGUGCUUAAAUCCAGCUACAGUCCUCUAUAUUAAUCUAGGAUCCCAUUCCCACCUAACUCCAUUUUCAUUAUUGCAGAGCCUACAGGGACUUGUUAAUGGGCUUAAAUGCACUGCUGUCCUUUUUGUUAAGUCUAGAAUCCCAUCUCUCCUACUCAAUUUGCAUUACCCCAGAGUGCACAAGAGACUGUUACUGUGCUUAAAUCCAUCCAGUCUGUUAUGUUUACCUAUGACCCCAUUCCCCAACAGUAAGUGACUCCCUUGCACUACCACAGAAAGUAGAAGGGACUGGUACUGUGCUUAAAAGCAACUAUAGUCCCUUAUGUUUACCUCGGACCCUAUUCCCACCCAACUCCCUUUUAAUGACUGCAGAAAGUUCUUGGGACUGUUAAUGGGCUUUAUUACAGUUACAGUUCCUUCUGUUAGUCUAGAUUCCCAUCCACUCCUACAUGAUUUGUAUUACUACUGACUGUACAAGAAACUGUUAAUGGGCCACAGUCCCCUCUGUUAUUUUGAAAUUUGUUACUUUUACUUAAUUUGCAUUACUGAAGAUGCUACAAGAAACUGUUAAUGUGCUUAAAUGGAGCUACAGAAUCUUACAUUUAUCUAAAAUCCUGUUCCCACCUCACCCCCUGAUAUGAUUGUAGAGGGUACUUGGGAUAGUUCAUGGGCUCAAUUAGAGCUAUAGUCCCUUCUGUUAGUCCCGAUUCCCAUGCCCUCAUACUUGAUUUGCCUUACCACAGUGAGUACAAUGGACUGUUAAUAUGCUUAAAAGGACCUACAGUCCCUCACGUAACCUAAGAUCUCAUUUCUACCUAACUCCCUUUCCUGCCUACAGAGGGUAUUUGGGACUGUUAAUGAGGUAUAUUGCAGCUGCAUUCCCUUCUGUUACUGUACAUUCUUAUGCCCUCUCACACGAUUUGCAGUACCACAAAUUGUACAGUUCAGUUUAGUUCAGUUGAGACGCUCAGUCGUGUCUGAUUCUUUGCGACCCCAUGAAUCACAGCAUGCCAGGCCUCCCUGUCCAUCACCAACUCCUGGAGUUCACGCAAACUCAUGUCCAUCGAGUUGGUGAUGCCAUCCAGCCAUCUCAUCCUCUGUCAUCCCCUUCUCCUCCCGCCCCUAAUCCCUCCCAGCAUCAGGGUCUUUUCCAAUGAGUCAGCUCUUCACAUGAGGUGGCCAAAGUAUUGGAGUUUCAGCUUCAGCAUCAGUCCUUCCAACGAACACCCAGGACUGAUCUCCUUUAGGAUGGACUGGUUGGAUCUCCUCGCAGUCCAAGGGACUCUCAAGAGUCUUCUCCAACACCACAGUUCAAGAGCAUCAAUUCUAAGGCACUCAGCUUUCUUCACAAAUUGUACAAGGGACUAUUGCUGCUGCUGCUGCUGCUGCUAAGCCGCUCAGUCAUGUCCGACUCCUAGCGACCCCAUGGACUGCAGCCCACCAGGCUCCUCCAUCCAUGAGAUUCUCUAGGCAAGAGUACUGGAGUGGGGUGCCAUUGCCUUCUCCGACAAGGGACUGUUAAACAUGAUUAAAUGCAACAGCAGUUUCUUAUGUUAAUCUAAGAUCCUAUUCCCAUCUAACUCUGUUUUCAUUAAUGUAGAGCCUACAUGGACUUGUUAAUGGGCUUAUUUGCACUGCCCUUCCUUCUGUUAGUCUAGAUUCCCAGGCCAUCCUUGAUUUGCAUUACCAAAGAGGGUAUAAUGGACUGUUAAUGUGCUAAAAUGCUGCUACAGUCCCUUAUAUUAACCUAGGAUCUUAUCCUCAGCUAAGGCUCUUUGCAGGCUUGCAGAGGAUGCUUGGGGCUGUUCAUGGCCUUAAAUACCACUACAUCCCUUAUGGUAACCUAGGAUCCCAUUACCAACUAUUAAUAUCUUCCUUUUAAGUACUGCAGAGCCUACAUAGAACUUGUUAAUGAACUACCAUUGUUCCUUUCCUUUGUUUAGAUUCCCAUCUCCUAAAGAUUUACAUUACCACGGAGGAUACUAUGGACUGUUAAUGUGCCCGUACAGUUCUUUUCCCUCCCCCUCCUUUUUAAAACCCAGGAUCCUAUUCCCACCUAACUCCCUUUGCAUUACCAGUGACUGUACAAGUGCCUGCUAAUGCUUUUAAAUGCAAUUACAGUCCCUUAUGUUAACCUAGGAUCCCACCCCCAACUAAGUCCCUUUGCAUGAUUGCAGAGGAUACUUGGAACUGUUAAUGUGAUUCACUGCAGCUACAUUCCUUUAUCUCAUCUAGGAUCCAUUCUCUUCCUUCUUGAUUUGCAUUAUCAGAGAGGAUAGAAGGGAUGGUUAAUGUACUUAAAUGGAACUAUAGUCCCUUAUGAUAAUCAGGAUCCUAUUUCUACCUCACUUCCUUUGUAUUACUUCAGAGUAUACAUGGGACUUUUUAUGGGCUUAAUUGCACUACUGUCCCUUCUUUUAGUCUAGAUCCCCAUCCUUCCUACUCCAUUUGCAUUACCCCAAAGUGUACAAGGGACUGUUAUUGUACAUAAAGGCAGUUACAGUCCCGUGCUUUAGUCUAAGAUUCCCUCUCCCCCUUUAAUUCCCUCUACAUUACCGAAGGGGAUACAAGGGACUGCUAAUGUGCUUAAGUGCUGCUUGCAGUCCUUUAUGUUACCUAGGAUCCCAUCCCCACCUAACUCACUUGUCAGAGAGGCUACAAGGGACUGUUAAUGUGUUUAAAUGCAGGUGUAGUGCCUUAACAUCGAAAUCCAUUCCUGCAUAACUCCCUUUUUCAGGACUGCAGAUGGUAAUUGAGACUGAUAGUGAGCUUUAUUGCAUUUACAGUCUCUCUUAGUCUAGGAUCUCAUUCUCUCCUACUAGAUUUACAUUACCAUGACUGUACAAGGGACUUUUAAUAUGCUUAAAUGCAGCUGUAGUCCCUUAUGUUAACCUAGGAUCCUAUUCCCACCUAACUUCCUUUUCAUGACUGCAGAGGGUACUUAAGUAAAUGCUCCUAGGAUCUCACCCCUCUCUACUCACUUGUGUUACUAUUUGGGACAGAAAGGUGCUUAAAUGCGACUGUGGUCCAUUUUGUUAACCUAGGAUCCCAUGCGCUCUAACUCUUAACAUUACCUGGGAGUAUACUGGGACUGUAGAACUGCUUAAUUGCAACUGUGGUCCCUUCUCUUAGUCUGGAGUCCAUGCUCUCCACAAUUUUGUUUAUAUUACCACAGAAGGUACUUGGAACCUGUGAAUGUGUCUAAAUGCAGAUGUGGUCCCUUUUGUUAGUUUAGGAUCCCAGGACUUCCUUUACAUUAUCUGUGAAGGCAUUUGGGACUGUCAAGGUGAUAAUUGCUGCUGUGUUCCCUUCUGAUAUCUAGGAUCCUGUUCCCUCCUACUUCCACUUCCUUUGCGUUACAUGGAAGGGUGCUUAACUGUAGCCAUGGUCCCUUCUGUUAGCCUAGUUUGCAUUCCCUCUCUACUUCCUUUGCUUACCACAGAAGGUACUGACUAUUGUGAUGCAUCUUAUCCUCUCACAUUACACCUUAGGGUCCUGAACACUAAGGCCCCUCUUUUUGUGCUUUUUAAUGUGCAGUUGCAUUUGUUCCUCUUCCUCUGCAGUGUAUAAAGACUCCACUUAUUUCCCUUGUAUUCAGUGAUGGAUGUCCUUUACUCAAGACCUUUGUACUAGAGUAAACUGAACCGUGACAAUUCACCAUGAAUAUAUUCUUUCACUUCAGUCCCUUGUAUUCUGUUUUAUAAAAAUAUAUAUUAAUUACCUCCAUUACUUUUUCUCUGGGAGUAUUUACAUGCAAAAUUCCAGUGUUUAAGGCCCUUCUCUUUAAAUUAAUAUCCCUCCCUUUUUGCAUUAUAUCAGGGGAUGUUAGUGACCCAAACUCUUUCUCUUGGGACUCAAUGUGCAUGUGCCCUCAUGACAAACUAAUAUAUUGAAUUUUUAGUAUUAAAACAGGGACUACUGACUAGUUUUUAUUUUGGGUAGUUAAUGUGCAGAAUUACACUAGGAACCCAUCCCAUUCCACCUUCUUUGCAUCAGGGGUCCUAAUCAACUGGCUGCUGCUUCUGUACAGUUUAAAUGUGCAUAAUUUCAAUAGUCCAUGCUCCCUUAUGUUAGACUAGGAUCCCCUAUCCUUGCCCCAUUUACAUUACGGCAGGGGCUUCUGACUAGCUAAGAUUCACUGUCUUGGACUGUUAAUGUAUGUACUCACAUUUGCUCCCGUACCUGUACCUCAGGUAAGGACCCUCCCCAUUCUAUUUACAUUUUAGCAGGAGAUGCCUACUAUUCAAGAUCUUACACACUAUUGCCGUUAAUGUGCACCAUCUUAGUUGUCUUGUACACAUUCUCAGUUGUCCACAGCUGUGCUUUUUAAAUCAGGGCCCUUUCACUUAUUGAAGCACAGGUUAACUUACCACCUUAAAGCCCUUGUUAUGGGACUGUGACUAUGUGUAAUUACAAUUGUCUAUGGUCUUCUGAGUUAACUUGUCUCCCUGACUCUUUUCAUCCUCUUUGCUUUACUGCAUGGGGUACUGCCCACUUAAGGCCCCUUUCUCAAGUAUGUGUAAUGACAAUUACAUUAUAGGGGCUUCAUACUCCCUUUAAGAUUCUUAUAUUUAUACAAGGUAUAUGAUUUUAAUUGACCACACCAUGUCCCUUCAACAUUAAUUUACAUAAUUGCAACUUAGUUCGUCUUAUCCUGUUGCCCUCCCUUUCCUUAGCUUGUGGAUGUGCAUUCUUGUGCACUAGACAAGGACCCUCCCCCUCACUUCCUAUGCCUUCCGUAAGUUUGCCCAUUGCUAAGACCUUUCCAUUUGGACAGUUAAUGUGCAGAGUUGCACUUUCCCAUAACCCUAUUACUUCUAGGACUAUUGUAUCUCCUUUGUAAUAGUGCAGGGGAUACUGUUUCCCCGCCAAGAUCCCUUACUGUUAAUAUACGUAAUAGAAAUUCUUGUCUUUAUCAGUGUACUUUGGUAAUACUCCCUCAGCCAGCUAUCAUGACCUCAGCUCUUGGACAAUUAAUAUGCACCAAUAAUAUAUCAAACGUAUGAUCUUUAGGUAGGAUCCCUGUACCCUCACUAUGGAUCAUGACUGCUGACUUAAGGCUUCUUUUUUUGACUCUGGGUGUGAAUAUUUGCAGUUACCUAUACACCCUUCUAUUAGAGUAGGACAUCAUUCCCUCAUACCCCCUUUGCAUUACUGCAUGGGCUGCUGAUGACACAAAACUUUCACUGGGACUGCUGAUGAGCACAAUGGCAGUUGGCAAUGGGUUUUUCCUCCCUGGUCUUGUUAGGCAAGCACUCCCAGCUCCAAAUUCUCAUGGUAUAUUAAACUAUAAACACUGCACUGUGCUGUGAACUUGUCCAUCAAAGGGCGACCCACAUUCCCACUCCUUUUGCGUUGGCUCCAGUGUAUCAAAUUCCAAGUAAUCAUGGCCUUGCCCUUAUCUUCCCUCUACAAACCCCUUGCCUGCCCUUGGACCCUUCUUAUGGAUUUUUAAUGUUCACAAUUCCAGGUGUCCAUCUCUCCAGAUAGGAUUAUGCUCCCUCACCCCUCCCACCCCUGCCCUGCCCCUUUUGCAUUGUUGCCGGGAAAUGUUGACUGAGCAAAACUCUUUUCUCUUGAAUUUACAAUGUUAACAGUCCCAGAUGUCAUUGUUCUGCCCACUUUGAAUUUCUAUAAUUCCCUGUUGCACUUUCCUUGGUCCCACCCAUCACGGACUCUUCCACUUCCUUCUUUGCAUUACUUCUGAAUAGUGCUGACCACCCACAGCCCCUUCUUUGUUGUUAACACAGUACUGAUUGUCCCAUUUUUAAGCCCAUCAGCCCAAGAUCUCCCUACCAUUUUGAUGUUAUAUUUGUGCAGUAUGGACUACCAAAAGCAGGCCAGAACUAGGUGACUGGACCUUACUCCUUUUCCUGCAUUUGUUAAUGAUCCCAGUUCUGAUUAUUGUCAUAUUCUGGGAACAGAACCGUUCCUGAUCCCCUCUGUUAGUGCUUUACUAGGCAAAAUGCUCAAGGCAAGUCAGACCCAAAGGAACUGGAUUGCUACCCUUUAUUUGGGGUUUUCAUUAUAAAUAAUCAUUUGAAAAUUGACUUCCCAAGAAGGAAGGUUAGCACUAUCUGUGCAUUCUUCCUUUCAAAGCAGAUUGCCUGGCUAUGUCUCUCCUUUCCUCUUGUAUAUUGCCAUUGUAUAGUGCCAAUUGCCAGGAUACAACCAAAAAGUUUAUUUAUUUUUUAUUUUUUUUAUUUUUUAAGAAAGACAUCUGGAUUGCAGGGUGGAAUUGAUAACCUGGUCAUUGAAAUUUUGAAAUUGGUAAACCCAUUUAUAUCAUGUACCUGAUGACCAGUGUCUCUCAUUUUACUAAGGGUGGUGAGUCUGUGGAUAGACCACUGUGACUUUGAUAUUUUAGUAUAUUACCAAAGGGGUUCUAGAGUGGAACUCUUAAGACCAGUAUCUUUGGGCUCUACCACCAUUUUCAAACCACUCCUUGUUUGAGCUUUACCAGUAUUCACUUCUAGGAAAAACUAUCUAAACUUCCUAAUCGUUAAAUUUCUUCAUCUGGAGCUCCAACUAGUCCGUACUUAUUUCAAGAAGAUUGCUGUAAAAGGAUAAAAUGAGAGAACAUGCUGAGGUGCUUUUGAAAACCAUAGAUCACUUUGUUUGAUUAAUCUAUUACAUUUUACGUACCCUGUUUAAUUCUGCUAUUUUAAAGUUACCUAAAGCACCACACUCAAGUGAGGACUUAGAAACGAUGGAACCAGUUUCCCCAUUUUAUAUGAAAAGAAAAAUAAGCCAAGGUCUAAUCAGUCUUUUGGAUAUAAAUUUCAACAGUGAAAAUGAAUACAAAUGAAUAAUAUCUCAGUCUCUAGUGUACAAGGUGUUUGGCAGAGAAGUAUUUAAUAUGGAACUGCUGAAGCAAGUAACUAAUUAUCACCACAGCAGUUCUUUGUAAUCACUGAAAAAGGAUACUGUUGUCUGAGAAGGAUGUCAAAAGAUCGGCCCAGCUCAGGGUGCAGUUUGCACUACUAGCUCCUUGGACAGCUGUAAGAAGAGUCUCUGGCUCUUUAGAAUACUGUAAGUACUACUUUGUAGCUAUUAAGUAAUCUUUUCCCUGUUCCAUUUUCUUUCUCUUAGAUGCUACCCACACAAAAAUUGGAGGGUCCUUCCAUGUUUCUACCUCAUCUGUAAUUUAUAUAUCACCAUAUGAGUUAAUAAAAUUACAAAAUUAAUAUUGUGUAUCUGGCCCUAUGCUAGGCUAUAUUGAAGUGAGGGAUAGAAAUGCUGUAGUCCUAUAUAAUCUCAUCCCCAAUAUGGUUAUAUUGUUAAAAAAACUAAUAUAAGCACACUUGAAAUAACUGUAGAACAUAAUAAUCAAGUACUGUCUUGUGUGAAUUAUAUGUUAUAGAGUUUUAAAAAUGAGCACACAAGGGUGUGAAGUUGAUAGGGUGAACUUAAGGAGGUGGGCUAACUUUCGUCUUUGGUCCAGGACAUGAUUACUAUUACAGCCACCUGGGUAGUAUAAUGUUUAUUUUAAUGUCAUUUGGUUUUUACCUUUUUUGAAUGCACGGAAAGUGAUUAGAAAUAACCCCUGGCCAUUGUGUUUGGCUAUAUCCAGGCUGGCAAAUUGUUGAUUGUUUUAAGCUUGAGUUUUUCAGGCUCUAGGGAUUGGGAGUAUAAAUCUGAUAUGUUAGAACUUUGUACGCUUUUUAUUCUCUCCUGCCCAAGAACAGAUGAGAGUAGCAGUGUCUUUUUAGUCUGAGAUAUUUGUGGAUCCUGUUUGGCAAGAGGGCAAUAGAGAAAUAUGUUUUAUAAGACCAUGACCUUCCCCUCUUCCCUUUCACUUUUUUCAACAAAUACUUUUGUGAGCUAAAAAGAUUAGCCUCUCUGGUAUAAAAAGAACAAAGAUCCAACUGAAAAAAUAUUAACAUCAAAUUUAAAAACUUUUUUUUGUUCAUGUUCAUGUAUCCCAGCAAGAGCAAGAAGAAUUAUAUUAAUGAGCUGGGCUUCUCUCACUGCCCAUUUUAAUUAAUAUCCGUAUUUCCUCACAGCUUGUUUCCCCCAGCCAGUGCCUAAAGAUAUUUGUCUGACUGACUGGAGGUAAUAUAUGAAUAGUCCUGAGCCUUCUUGUUUCUCAAACUGAAGUAAUUUGUCAGGAUGCAGCACCUUUUAAAGAAACAAGUUUUUUGAGAUCCUAAAGAGUAAAUGUUUUGAGUAACACUGACUUAAGUUAUUUGAAAUGUAAACAUGGUUUCCAAUUUCAAAAUAGCUUUGUCAAAAAUAUAAUAUUUUAUAUAACAUUUUAAAUAAUUUAUAUAGAACUUGGAGAUCGUGAAAAUAUAUCCACAAACCCCCAGGGUUCUUAUCACCCCAAUUUGAGAAACACUGGUCUGUGCUUAUGAGAUCAUUUAUUGUAGUUAAUCGAGUUAUCAUUCGAUGUUAAUAUACAGCUAUAACUAUUUAUUGGAAUUUGUCUUAAAGGGAUGAAUUCUGAGCUGGUUCCCCCCCACUCAAGAGGAAGGAUGGAUCAAGUUUAGGUGGAGUGAAGCCUGCACUGGACAGCAUCCAAAGGUGAAUCUUGGAGUUGUAUUUCAGUUCAUUGCUUGAAAUAAAAUCUCUAGCACUUGUAGAAAGGGAUGCUCUGGGAAUGUCGGCAUCUUCAAACUCAAGGUAAUCCUUCAGUAGACCAGACACUGGAAUAAAUAGUAAAAUCAAAGACAGAAUUCCUGUCCAGGAAUCUGCUAUCUCAUGGUGGAUACAGAAGUGAACAAAUUAUUAUGGUGUUGGGCAAUUUGAUGAGUAUCAUAAAAUUUGGGGGAAAUUCUGUGGUUCAUAGAGGAAGAAGAGUGGGGGAAAACACUGUUACUAAGCAAAGUGAUCAGUUCAGUUCAGUCGCUCAGUCGUGUCCGACUUUUUGCGACCCCAUGAACCGCAGCACGCCAGGCCUCCCUGUCCAUCACCAACUCCCGGAGCCUACCCAAACUCAUGUCCAUUGAGUUGGUGAUGCCAUCCAACCAUCUCAUCCUCUGUCAACCCCUUCUUCUCAUGCCCUCAAUCUUUCCCAGCAUCAGGGUCUUUUCCAAUGAGUCAGCUCUUCACAUCAGAUGGCCAAAGUAUUGGAGUUUCAGCUUCAACAUCAGUCCUUCCAAUGAACUCCCCGGACUGAUCUCCUUUAGGAUGGACUGGUUGAAUCUCCUUGCAGUCCAAGGGACUCUCAAGAGUCUUCUCCAACACCACAGUUCAAAAGCAUCAAUUCUUCAGUGCUCAGCUUUCUUUAUAGUCCAACUCUCACAUCCAUACCUGACUACUGGAAAAACCAUAGCCUUGACUAGACGGACCUUUGUCAGCAAAGUAAUGUCUCUGCUUUUUAAUAUGCUGUCUAGGUUGGUCGUAACUUUCCUUCCAAGGAGUAAGUGUCUAGGAUUUGUUUGAUGUUGACAUAAAGAUCCUUAUAAUGUGGUAAUUCUUGAUCAGGGAUCUGGAAGCCAUACCUGGUUCUUUCCACACUAUACCAUAACAUAAAAAAUACUUUCAAGAUUGCAAACCUGACUUAGACCUUCUUCAGUGACCUCCUAUCCUAGAGUAAGGGCAGGUAACCAAUUAUUAAAAAUGAUCAAGGCAAUUGUACUUCCAGGCAGCAGUAGCAAUUCCUCUGCUGCUUUGCAUCUUGAAGUAUUUUUAGCACCUUUAGGCCACAAACUUAGACAGCCCUUAAAGUGGCUGUUGGUUUGACUCAUACUUUAAUUUAGCUCUUUUUUCUAUACUUGCUUGGUUCUUCUGUGAUACUGCCAGUGCUGACCAUUACAGGACCUUAGGGAGACAACAAGCUAGAGAUGAGAGACAGGAGAUACCUAUAUCUAAUGUUUCAGGUUAAUGCUUCUUAGUGGUUUUUCUUUCUUUUUUUUUUUUAUUGUUGAGGUUUUCUCAGCAUUUAAAAAAAAUUGUUUUUUUUAAUUGAAGGAUAAUUGCUGUAAAGAAUUCUGUUGUUUUCUGUCAAAUCUCACCAUGAAUAUUAUAUUGAGCCUUGCCCUUUCUUUCUUCUCAAGGACAUUCCAAGCAUAUCAGACCUGAGGACUGCAAGCAACUUUAAGAAGCUUCAUAUUCAGCAGGUCUUUCCUUUUGAGAAUCUGGAUAAGCUCCAACCAAUCUCAUAGGAUGGCUUGCAGUUUCCCUGGAGAAAAAGGUAAUGUAAGGAGCUUAUUGUGUGAAUUCUGUCUUUGGCUUUAAAGGCUUUAACUUCCUAUAGCUCUCCUUUUAAAAACAGAACAUGAGCCAAUUUUCAUCAAUUUCUAUACAUUUUUUCUUUUUGAGUAUAAGAGUAGAAUAAUAGAGAUCCAAGGGCCUGUGUAAGCUACAUUAUUGGAUCCUUGUUUUUCCUUUUGCAUAGAUUUGCUUAGUUGUUAUAAUAACUGAGGUUUUAUGUGCCUGUAGCCAUUCUUGAUUUUUUGAAUAUCCUGGUACUUUGGUGGUACCUCAUUUAUAUAAGCUAUUCAAGAACUGUACCAUGUAGAUUGAGGAGAAAACAAUUCUGUUUACCUUGGCAAUGCUCCAACAUCUUACUGCUUAGUAUACAAAUUAUUAAUAAAAGAAGGGAGUGCUACAAAACUAGGUGAGAGAGACGUACUUUUGUUGAGAUGGAUCACUCAAUUCUUACAAUAGUACUUUAUAAAAGAAGCCUGAGGCAACGUCUUACAGAAUUCAUAUGGUCAGACCACAUUGGAAUUCUUCUCAAGUGGCUUGAUGGCUCUCCUGAUAGAGAAAGCUAGCUCCUCCUUUUGUUAUUUUCAAUCCCUUAAUUUCUUGACCUGUAUUUUUUGAGGACACAAGGACAUUAAAAACCCACGCUCUCAAGCAGGGUCCCCACCCUCCAGGAUCUAAUGCCUGGUGAUCUGAGGUAGAGCUGAUGUAAUAAUAAUGGAAAUAAAGUGCACAACAAAUGUAAUGCACUUGAAUCAUCCCAAAAUCAUUUCCCCAACCCUGGUCCAUGGGAAAAUUGUCUUCCAUGAAACUGGUCCUGGUGCCAAAAAAGUUAGGGACCACUGCUCUAGAGGAUUAUUCAUCAGUAGAGACUGGUGACUAAAACAAAAUAUGGGAAUUUGGGUAAUUAUUCAGCUCUAAGUUGCUCUAGAAAAUGAGGGGAAGUACAGGGAAUGCAGCUUGAAUGAAUAGAGGAAUUUGCAUGCUGCUAGGCUGGUAGCUUGGAGAAUGUGAUGGCACCCCACUCCAGUAUUCUUGCCUGGGAAAUCCCAUGGAUGGAGGAGCCUGGUGGGCUGCAGUCCAUGGGGUCGCUAGGACUUGGACACGACUGAGCGACUUCACUUUCACUUUUCACUUUCAUGCAUUAGAGAAAGAAAUGGCACCCACUCCAGUGUUCUUGCCUGGAGAAUCCCAGGGACGGGGGAGCCUGGUGGGCUGCCAUCUAUGGGGUCUCACAGAGUUGGACACUACUGAAGCGACUUAGCAGCAGCAGCAAGCUGGUAGCUAUUAAUAGAAUAUAAAGCUCUACACAGUUCUAAAUCUCCAGUCCUUAAUCUGAAGAAAAGGGUAGACAUGGUUCAAUUUAACCCCUAGUUACUCAUUGGGACAGACUUUCCCAGUGUACUGAAUUUCAAUAAUUUAUUUUUCUUUUAUCUCUUUUCCAGAUCUACCUCAAAAGAAUAGGCCUGUUGCUUUACAGUGUUAGUGACCCAUUCCCUUUGACGAUUCCUAGGUGGAGAUGGGGCAUGAGGAUCCUCCAGGGGAAAGAUUCACUACCACUGAGCAACAACUCUAGGCCAGGAGGUUAUACCAAGAUUCUUUCCUGGGCCCAGUUAAGAAGGUGAAGCCUCAAGACAACCACCACACAUCCAGAGGUGGGUAAACUGUCCCUAAAAGCAUAAUAAUUAGUCUUUAAUUUCUUGUUUUUCAGUAUACAUUGCACUUAGCUUUCCAUUUAGAUUGUUUUAGUCAUUAUCAUCUAUAUCUGCUUUGGUAAAAAGAAAAGAAAAAAAAAAAAAACUGCCUCCUAAUUACCCUGGGAAGUAACUGAGUGUGACAUGGGUUAAAAUGAUGAUGUGAAGAAAAUAGCAGGCUGCAUUAGUUAGGGUGUUUAGGAUGGGACUGAAGUAUGUGGUAGAGGCUUACAGCUAAGUUUUAGGAGAACAUGGAUGAUGACUGACACAUCUGUGACACUGAUCAUGGGCCAAUCAUCAUUCUGGACCCUCUGAUUCCUAAAGUCUCCCUUGAGGCCUUAUUGGAGAAUUUUGCCAAUCAUUUACAUACUUCAAGAUGCCUUGGGAAAGCUGUGGGACAAAACAAAAAACAAGCUGUUUGAGAAGAUAAAAUAGAGAUUUAUCUUUUUAUGCUCUGCCUGCUAAUUGACAGAAGCUUCACAACUAUGAAUGGGAGGCACAAAGUUGUCUAUCAUCAGACUGCAUCUAAAGAACUAGCACACUGUGUACUUUAGGUCAGUGAUGAGAGAGGAUGAUUAGGGGGAUACAGGUUGAGAGGUAGAGGUAACUGUUCAGUGCAGAAAGUCCUGAUUGUAUAGGCUUUGUAAAGAUUACUAUCCAAUUAAAGGAAUAAGGCUGUGAUGGAUGAUGUUUCCAGUGCCUCACCAAGUGUUAUUCAGUUCACUUCAGUCGCUCAGUCAUGUCUGACUCUUUGCGACCCCAUAAACUGCAGCACGCCAGGCCUCCCUGUCCAUCACCAACUCCCAGAGUUUACCGAAACUCAUGUCCAUUGAGUCGGUGAUGCCAUUUAAGCAUAUCAUCCUCUGUCAUCCCCUUCUCCUCCUGCCUUCAAUCUUUCCCAACAUCAGGGUCUUUUCAAAUGAGUCAGCUCUUUGCAUCAGGUGGCCUAAGUAUUGGAGUUUCAGCUUCAACAUCAGUCUUUCCAAUGAACACCCAGGACUGAUUUCCUUUAGGAUGGACUGGUUGGAUCUCCUUGCAGUCCAAGGGACUCUCAAGAGUCUUAUCCAACACCACAGUUCAAAAGGAUCAAUUCUUUGGUGCUCAGCUUUCUCUGUAGUCUAACUCUCACAUCCAUACCUGACUACUGGAAAAACCAUAGCCUUGACUAGAGGCACCUUUAUUGACAAAGUAAUGUCUCUACUUUUUAAUAUGCUGUCUAAGUAGGAAAUAUAACUUUCCUUCCAAGGAGUAAGUGUCUUUUAACUUCAUGGCUGCAGUCACCAGCUGCAGUGAUUUUGGAGCCCAGAAAAAUAAAGUCAGCCACUGUUUCCAUUGUUUCCCCAUCUAUCUGCCAUGAAGUGAUGGAACCAUGAUCUUAGUUUUCUGAAUGUUGAGCUUUAAGCCAACUUUUUCACUCUCCUCUUUCACUUUCAUCAAGAGGCUCUUUAGUUCUUCUUCACUUUCUGCCAUAAGGGUGGUGAGCAUCUGCAUAUCUGAGGUUAUUGAUAUUUCUCCUGGCAAUCUUGAUUCCAACUUGUGCUUCAUCUAACCCAGUGUCUCUCUGCAUAUAAGUUAAAUAAACAGGGUGACAAUAUACAGCCUUGACGUACUCCUUUUCCUAUUUGGAACCAGUCUGCUGUUUCAUGUCCAGUUCUAGCUGUUGCUUCCUGACCUGCAUACAGGUUUCUUAAGAGGCAGAUCAGGUGGUCUGGUAUUCCCAUCUCUUUCAGAAUUUUCCACAGUUUAUUGUGAUCCACACAGUCGAAGGCUUUGGCAUAGUCAAUAAAACAGAAAUAGAUGUUUUUCUGGAACUCUCUUGCUUUUUCGAUGAUCCAGCGGAUGUUGGCAAUUUGAUCUCUGGUUCCUCUGCCUUUUCUAAAACCAGCUUGAACAUCUGGAAGUUCACAGUUCACAUAUUGCCGAAGCCUGGCUUGGAGAAUUUUGAGCAUUACUUUACUAGCGUGUGAGAUGAGUGCAAUUGUGCGGUAGUUUGAGUAUUCUUUGGCAUUGCCUUUCUUUGGGCUUGGAAUGAAAACUGACCUUUUCCAGUCCUGUGGCCACUGCUGAGUUUUCCAAAUUUGCUGGCAUAUUGAGUGCAGCACUUCAGCAGCAUCAUCUUUUAGGAUUUGAAAUAGCUCAGCUGGAAUUCCAUCACCUCCACUAGCUUCGUUUGUAGUGAUACUUCCUAAGGCCCACUUGACUUCACAUUCCAGGAUGUCUGGCUCUAGGUGAGUGAUCACACUAUCAUGAUUAUCUGGGUCAUGAAGCUCUUUUUUGUACAGUUCUUCUGUGUAUUCUUGCCACCUCUUCUCAAUAUCUUCUGCUUCUGUUAGCUCCAUACCAUUUCUGUCCUUUGUUGAGCCCAUCUUUGCAUGAAAUGUUCCCUUGGUAUCUCUAAUUUUCUUGAAGAGAUCUCUAGUCUUUCCUAUUCUAUUGCUUUCCUCUAUUUCUUUGCAUUGAUUGCUGAGGAAGGCUUUCUUAUCUCUCCUUGCUAUUCUUUGGAACUCUGCAUUCGAAUGGGUAUAUCUUUCCUUUUCUCCUUUGCUUUUCACUUUGCUUUUUUUCACAGCUAUUUGUAAGGCCUCCUCAGCCAUUUUGCUUUUUUGCAUUUCUUUUUCUUGGGGAUGGUCUUGAUCCCUGUCUCCUGUACAGUGUCAUGAAUCUCCAUCCAUAGUUCAUCAGGCACUCUUUCUAUCAGAACUAGUCCCUUAAAUCUAUUUCUAACUUCCACUGUAUAAUCAUAAGGGAUUUGAUUUAGGUCAUACCUGAAUGGUCUAGUGGUUUUCCCCAAGUAUUAUUAGGCAAGACAUUUUCCUGUUUAUGCCAUAGUUUCCUAUUCUGUUGAAUGAGGCAGUUAUAUUAGUUUUAUCUCUAAGGACCUAAAAGUGUCAACUUUAUACUUUUCUAAGUUCUGUAGAGACAGUUUCUAUAGCUCAUUAAUUUGGGUCUUCCCAUAACUCUAGCACAGUACUCAGUUAAUACUUCUUCAUGGCAUUUACAUGGUUUCUUUCUUGUUUUCUUUUGUAGCUCCUGGUUGUUCCCUUCAUAUUUGCCAAAUCAUUAUCUUUCCCUGAAGUAGUGCAAAGAGCAAGAAAUGUGAACACACCAAGGAAGAUCAACAUGCCUGCAAUGCUAGCAUUUUAGAAUAGCAGAAUGAAGUAAGUUGUUGUUGGUGUAAUCCUAUGAGCAUUAGUUUAGAGCUAAUGUCUGUUUGAUGGAGGUUUGUGUGGGAUGAUGUAUAGUGAUCCACGGUGGAAGAGGUGCUGAAUGUGAGAUGGGAGGAUGAUCAGUAACCUAUAUUAACAGUUGGUUUCACUAAAGCAACUCAAAAGAUAAUAUAGUCUGUGUACCAGUUGUGUCAUAGGGUAAUUUAGUUUCACCUUGUCUGUUUAUCUUUUCUACAUAGAUCAUUUGCCACACUUAGAGGCCUAAACACAUAGAAACUUAAGCCAAAAACGUUUUUGUUUUUUGCUGAAAGGCUGGCCUCUCACUCUUGUGAGCGAAUCUGCAGUUCGGAUAUAAUAUUAAAGAAAACCUAGUCCCUGAAGCAGCCAUUAUAAUCAUCAAAAGUAUGAUGAUUUUAUAAAGGAAUGGGGAAAAGUGAAGAUAUAAAAUGAGAGAACUAACUAGGCGCUCUCUAAAGGCCCUUUACUAUGUAUAAUGUUCACUUAUGUGUGGCAACUUAUUUGGCUCUCCGGGAACUCUUGGGAAAGUUGUAGCAGAAUGUUGAGGCACAUGAGAUAAUAUGAGAUAGGAGGUGAGAUGAGAUGUGAGAUUAAUGUAAACUGCCACUCAUCACGUGAACAACCUUUUGGCAAUUUAGAGUCUGAUUAGACUUGUCUAUUUGUGAAGCUAAAAUGAAAUCAUGUAUGUAAAGUGCUUAGUACACUGCCUAGUACAUGAUAGGUAAAAGGUAACCUAAGAAGUUUCAUAAGUUCAACUGACACAAUACAAGUGACCACUGAUACCAUCUAGUAGCACAGAGUUGGUGUGGUUUGAUUCUAUGUAAAAAAUUCCCAAAGUAAAAGUUUGUAAGUAGAAGAGUAUCUGUGUUGGUGGUAAUUGUUGUUAUUAUAAUUAUUAUUGUUAGUAGUAAUAUAAAUAAUAUUGACACUAAUAACAGAUUAUUGCAAUUAUUAAUGCACUUUUUUGUUUUCUUCUCUUUGUGAUGCUUCUUGUGCCUGUCAUGCUCAUCACUGUAGUUUGUCUCUUCUGUUUCUUACCCUCUUCCAUGUCUGCCUUUGCUUAUCUUUUAAACUCAUAAGUGUGUAUUUGUUUGUUUGUCUGUUUCUUCUUUGAAUGUCUUUGGUCUUUCUUGUCUAAAGUAUGUCUUACCCAUUUCCAUGAUUCUCUUGCUAGUUUCUUCUCUGUAUAUCUUUGUCUCAUUUACUUUUUUGUACCCAGGAGUGGUUUGUGUCUUGUCUUAAAUGUCUCUCUCUAGUUUUCUUCAUUUUGUUACUGAUUCUCCUUGCUCUGCUAGAUCUAGCUCUUCUUUCACCGUUCUCUGUGAGCCUCUUGAGUUAUGUGUGCCUUUUGCUCAUUUCUUGCUAUGCCUGCCUCUCUUCUUUUUCUCUUUGUGAACUCUGUCACCCGUUCCCCUUGUUGGCUUGACAUUUCACCUUUUCUGAUACUGGCUACCCUUCUGCUGUUUCUACUCUUUAUCUUGCAUAUUUCUCUUUUCUACAUAUUCUUUGUGCCUUUCUUGGGCUAUUUUCUCUUUUUUUCCUCAUGCUUUGUGUGCCCCAGUGUCUCUUUGUUCUUUGUGAUUUUCAAUUUCAGCAUUCAUCUCUGUUCUCUUGGUUCUUCUCUCCUUUUGCCUUUCUAUUCACUUUUGAGUAUUUCUUGAGUCUAUGUCUCCCCCUCUUUGAUUUCAUGCAAUUCUCUCUCCUGGCAUAUUUUUUCAUGCGUGUUUGUGUGUGUGCUCUUUUGUGUGUUUGUAAAGGCGCCUCCUAACCCCUUCCAGUAGGUGCAGAGUGUCAGCUAUCAAAAUAAGCAUUGCAGAGCUGUUCGUUAUGCCAGGCCGCCCUGUGAGAUGAUCAAAACCAACAGAAGGUCCAAGGGUCUAGACUGGAGUUGGAUAGAAGACUCAAGUCUCCGUGAGACAGAAGGCCAAAGACCUAGGAUGGGAUUAAAAAACCUUGUCUUGAAGACCUGUGACCCAAAAGAUGGAAGUGCCCUAGCACACACAAAGACCCAGGACUCAAACCUAUCUAUAUAAGACAGAAGGCCCAAGAGAGACAGAUAUUUCAAGACUAAAUUAGAUGGGAAACUGGAGGUUCGUGACAGAGAUACCAGGAAAGAAAGAAGCCCCAGGACCAAAGGAAAUUCCAAGAUGAGACUCUUAAACCCCAGCUGUUUCUAUUGCUCUUUUCCCUACUCUUGGACAUUUUCAGUUCUCCCUUCCUUCUCAUGUCUCCAUUUAUAUCUACUUCUUUUGAGAUGUCCUUUUUGAUGUUACCUUAAAAAAAAAAAAAAACGUAUCUUUAGAUCAGUAAUAUUAUGCUUUGGCCUGUUUUUAUUACAGUUUUGAACCAUUUAUUAAGUUUUUGAAGUUUUAAACUUCCAUUUCUCUUCACCUCCUCUCCACUUGAGAGGGACACAUAGCUGACAUUAUAUUUCAGUCCCCUCUUUCCUCAGAAGCUCUAGGCUGAUGAGAGAAGGAAAGUAUCAGGUUCAGUUAUUGAGGGGAAAGAAAGUGCCAAGCUAUCUAGAGAAAAUGUGAAGAGAUGCUCCACAGGCCAAUGAGAAGAAUUAGACAAGAAAUACACAGAUGUGCCAGUUUGCUGAGAAGUGCCAGCCAGCAACAUCUUACUUAUUUGAGCUUGGGUGAGCAGGAUACCUGAGGUUUGGGAUUCUUACUGUUGGUUAUGAAGGAGGAUUGGGCCUAACACAUAGUGAGGCCCCAAGGAAGGAGCAUGAACUCCCUGCUCAUAGUAGUGGCCUAAUAAUGUGGUAAGCUGCAUAAAUUUUAUCCCUCGGUUUAAUACCUAGGCUUAAAGGUGAGAAAAUCUGGGAAUAUUUAGCAGGUUUAAUCCUUUCAUUAAUUUUUUUCCUCUUACCAUAAGGAAAGAUAAUUUUAGUGAUAAUAUAUAUGAAAGCACUGUAAAACACAGAAAAAAAAGCAAGACUUUCUCAUUAAUAAUGUAUUGGCACUCAUGCACAGCUAACAUUUGAAAAUGCGUUGUCAGUUGUGAAGCAUUAUGUAAAUCAAGGGUUAUCACACCCUUUUUGUAAAGGAUCAGAUGGCAAUUAUUUUAUACUUUGCAAGCCAUAUGGUCUCUCUCUGCUUUUUUUUAUUUUUAAAGUGAAUAUGGUCUGUGGGCCACAGUUUAUCACCCCUGGUGUAAUUGCCAGGGACUGUGUGCUGAAUAAUAUUAAUUUCUUUCUUUGUGCCUGUCCCUGUAUGCAUUAAGGAUGCAAUGAUUACUUAUGGUCAUAUCCAGGUGAUAUGAAGAAAAAUAUAUGAAUGUGACUUAUAAACUAUUAUGCACUUUAAAAGCUUGUCACAAUUUUCAGAGUUGAUGAAUGAACAUUGAUUACAUGGUAUAUACAUUUCUAGGCACUGUAUAUACAAAGAACAAAAGCGUGAAUAAAGGGCUUUCUCAAAAGUAUGUAAUACUGUACAGAUAUUAGGAAUUAAGUCUAUGAUAAAUGAGUAAUUCAUGUAUUUGUGGCCAUUGUGUUUCUGUGGCUCUGGUGAUUCUGAGUACAGAUGUAGUAUUCCAAGUCACAGAAAAGAAAACAUUGUUCAGUCGCUAAGUCGUGUCUGACGCUUUGUGACCCCAUGAACUGCAGCAUGCCAGGCUUCCAAACCCUUAAACUAUAAAGCAUACUGCAAACACAAGGGAUUUAAGCUAUUGUGAUUACUUAUAAUGUGCCAGAUAACAUCCUGGGCACUACAGAUGUCAAAGGAAAAGAAUAUUCUUAUUAUAGAAUAAUUAAAAAUUUUAGAUAGGCCGUACAUUUUAAAGUGCUUUGUACUAAAGCACUGUAUAAAUACCAAUGGGCUAUAUGUUUAUGAAUGAAUGAAUAAGUAUUAAUUUCCUUAUAUAUGCCAGCUAUUGUUUCAGGUACUGUGAAAUCUAAGACAAUGCUCCCAAGUGAUAAGAGGGAUGUUUAUGUCCUAUACUACUUAUAUAUAAAGAAUUAGAUAUUAUUUAUUUUAAUCAAUAAAGACUUUACUGGUGAUGUUGAACUAAAUUAUUACCAGUAUAUUUCCCAAGGUAAUAGGAAAAUGUAAUGAAUGAAAUUGAGCUUUCUAACUAUAAAAUGCUACAUAAAUAUAAAACAUUAGGUGUUUUCUCUGUGAACAAAACUUAGGUUGAGACAGACAUUUGUUUGUGUGUGUUAGUCGUUCAAUCAUGUCUGACUCUUGCGACCCCAUGGACUGUAACCCACCAGACUCCUCUCUCUGUGGAUUUCUCCACACAAGAAAACUGAAGUGGGUUGUCAUUCCCUUCUCCAGGGGAUAUUCUUGACCCAGAAACUGAACUCAGGUCUCCUGCACUGCAGGCAGAUUCUUUACCAUCUGAGCCACAGGUUCUCAUUGUGUGUUUGACCCACUAUGAGAAAGGCAGUAUAAAAUUCUCAGUAUACAAACUGAGAGUUUAAAUACUUGGUAAAUGAAUGGGUCAUUAAUAUUAGUUGCCUACUAUGUGAACUCACUGUUAUAGGCACUAAAGAGACACACAAAUUUAUCAUUUUAUUGUGCCUACAGUUGAGAAUAGGCAAUAACAUACGUUAGUAUUUUGUGAACUCUAAGAGUACCAUAUAAGUGUAACUAUUGAUUUCCUCAGUUGGUAUGCCUAAUACUAGGCUUGCAAAAUUGUAUCAUAGCUAUUAUACCAUGAAAAAAGUCAGAAAAAAUUUGAGCAAGGAUUGUUAAUUACUGAACACUUCAAAUAUGAUACAUAAAGGACUAAAUGUCUGAUGAAUGCAAGCCUGGAUGAUAAUUAUGUGCCAGUCUCCUUGAUAAGCAUAAGAGAUAAGAAGAUAAUCCAUCUUUACUGUGUUCUGGGCAGCAGAAGGUAAUAUAUAAAAUCAAUUUGUAGGUCUUAAACUGGCAUACAUAUAUAAGCCAUAUCUGCUGAAUGAACAUUGAUUACUUACUCUCUCUUAUUCCAAGAGAUAGCAACUAGGGAUGCAAAAAUUCAUUGCCAUUAUUGUUGAACCUGUAACAGAGAUCUGUAUAAAUUUUACAAAGCUUACUGUUCUAUACAGAUCUAAAGAAUUAACUGUUGGCUUAAUGAAUGGUUACUGAUUACUUUCUAUCUAUAAAGCUCAAAACUGUGUAUGCUCUAGGAUAUAAAAAUGACUCUCCUUAUCAGAUGCUGUAAAUAACAUGAGUGGGAAUCCAGAAUAAAAAUUACUUAACCAUUGCUCAGCUUAUUUGAUGAUAAAAACAUGGGCAGAAUGGAAUUGUGCAAGGCAGUAUGCUGAAUGCUGAGCUAGGUGGAAAGAUAAAAUCCAGACCAGAAGGCCACUUGCUCCCUGGCUUGACUAAAGGAAUGGAAUUUUUUUGUUUCUUUGUUUAAAGAGCAAGAUGUUGUCAUUCUCCAUUGGUCUUUUAAAUGCUGAAUGCUGAAGAUGGAGGUGAAUUCAAUCCACUCUGGCCUGGCAUAGAGAAAUUGAAAGAGUAAAAAAUGGUUCAAGUUGGCUUUUAGAUUAAUUUGAUGAACAGCAUCUUUUAUGUAAAAUAUAUCAUUCUAGGUCCUGAGCAUAAGAGAUAUGAAAUGGGCCUAGUCUAAAGGGCUUUAGAUAGAUCAAAGAUUAUAACUGAAGAUCCAAAAACAUCUUUGAGUUUUAAGUAAAUAUUUGAGUUCCCGUUCCCUAGAUCCUAUUCCUGUUCCUUGAAUUCUUGUUCCUAUUUUCUUGGUGAAGUCUGGUCCAGAAAACCUAUUGACUUGCCUUGGAAAUUUAAAAAAUAGAAAAACAAUAUGGUUCUUUCAAUGUAAAGUGAAGAUAUAUUUCUUGGCUCUAGAAAGUAUCAAUGUCAUGUGCUCAUUGACCUAGAUUGAAGCCAGAAGAUUAAUAAAAGGCCUCAGAGUUUGUCCUUUAAUUCAUUAAUAUUCUGUUUUUAUUAUAGUUAAAUGGGUAAGAUGACAAUCAAGAUUAUUAUGGCAUGGAAUCAGGAAGACAACAAAAAAGAUUCUUCCUAGAUUUUCCAUAUUUUGUAAAUUAUUCACUUGAAUGAAGUACUGUUCUUAAGUGCUGAGGAGAAUGAAGAGAUUUACAAGACCUAGACCAAAAUAUACUUUAAUUUCACUAGUACAUGGAGGACACACAAGAACAAAUUUAAUAGGAGAUUGCAAUUCUUUCAUUAGUUGGAAAAACUAAAGUAGCUGUGAUAUUAAGAUACUGAGAUGGAAUGAUUAAACAGAUCACUUUCUCUUUGGCAUGUUUUGUAGAGAAGGAAUAAAAAAGCUUUUCAGUUAUUCAUACAAGCAUUGAAGAAGGUGAUGCUAAAUGAAAUAGAUCUGGUAAAAAAGAAAUUGUCUUGGAGAUGCAGUUAAAAAAAAAAAAAAAACAAGAAAUGGAGUGAAACUUCAUUGAAUGAGUGUCUAUUUCAAGGCAUUGUGCUAAUUCCUAGACAGAAAACAAAAAAGAUCUUGACUGAAAGACACUUACUUGACUUGGAAACUGGUAUAUAAGAGAAGAGGUUAUUGUUAAUUUUUUAAAUUUAUUCAUUCAUUCUACAAGUAUGUUUGAGUGCCUAUUGUAUAUAAGCUCCUUAGCUGGGUUCUAGCUAGGUUCUCUAGCUAACCCCCAGAAAGAGACAUGAGAAAAUGAAUGCCUUCCCAGAGAACUUAAAAUUUGCCUUUUGGCCUAUUUUCUGAUCAGGGCUAAACGGCUUACUUCCUCAAUAAUAUUGUGUGGUUUAAUUCCUACUCCAUCUUAAACCACUCUGGCCACUACAAUAAGCAGGGGUUUUUACUGAACUGCUCCUUAAAUUGCAGGAUCCUUCCUUAUAAUAAAACACUUCAGUUUUCCUAACCCAUCCCUCAUGAAAAAUGGUUGUGAUCAUAGUGAGCCGAAAGAGGGAUGAGAAGCAACUGAUUCCCAAACUUCAGUCUCAUUGGUACCAACCUUGAAGAACCACUCAUACUCAAAUCACAAUUGGUUUUGAAACACACUUACAGUUUUGUCUAUGACAAAUAUACACUGCCUAAGUCUUUUUUAAAAACAAUCCUCUGAUAUUACUUAGCAAGUUUGGAGAUGGAGACAUGAUUUGUGUUUUGCAACAACAGCUUCUCAACUUACAAUUUAGAAAUCUUUUCCUUUUCACCAUCAAAACCUGCUUAAGAUAAGACUUGAAAAUAGCCUAACAAUUUUACUAUGCUUAAGCCUUAAGAAUAAUAGAACUUGAAAGUAUUUGGCAAAUGUUGGAGGGAAAAAAAAUCUACAUAUAGGCCCAAAUGGGCUUUGGCCUUUUCUCUUUUUAAAUCACUCACAGAGGGUGGGAUAGGAGGAAGAGUGAAAGAAAAGGUCAAGCCUGAUUCUAAAAAGAGUUGGUCUUAAAAGUAUUGCUACCUCCAGAUCUAACUUGGGGAUUGCUGUUCUUAGUGUAAUUCAAUUUUAAAAACUGGUCACUGUUAAGAUGAGGACAAAGUCCUUUGUCCAUCAGUUAAGCCUGGGGUUAUAUAAUUAUGGAAUUUAUUAAAUCUAUGUGACCUCUCCAUCAUAAGGUAGUCUUAAAGCUAAAGUCGGUCCACUACGUAGAAAGAGGACUUUAUCGUUCACUAUAAUUCAUACACACUUUCAAAGCAUCUACACCUUAAAGUUUACAUGGCAAGACAACAAUACCAUCUGUAAAAAUAGAAGGAAAUAGAAGAAUGGCAGGAGAUAGUUGCUGGAGGGAGCGAAUUUGAAUGGGAUUUGGGGUAAUGUUUGUAGUUUUUGCUUUGUAUAUUUUUAUUUAAGUGUAAGGUGUAUCUGAUAUUAAUAAUGUUUGGUGUUUAAUAUGUACUAUUAGCUGGACUCAGUAACUCCCCUUUCUCCAGGUAGGGAUGAGAGAUGCAUUAUUGGAAAGGAGAAAGUAACAGUCUUCAUUUCACAGUUUCUGGCAUCCCAAGGCCACACUACUGAUAAACAAGAAUAAUAGAACAUUCUGUCAUCUGAUUUUUGUGGCAUAAAUGAAGUUGUGAACAAUUUUUUUUUUCUUAAGAAAAAGAAACAGCUUUACAUCUACCCUUUUACCUUAAAAGGAUCUAUGCCAAAAUGCUCUGAUGAAUGGAAGACACACAUGGACUUGUGAACUGAUGUGAAACACAUAAUAUCUGAGCCUUGGUUGUUGUGAAGACUGAAAA
rnacentral:lncRNA from 1 species